rnacentral:rRNA from 1 species
GCGAUCAUACCAGCACUAAUGCACCGGAUCCCAUCAAAACUCAGAAGUUAAGCGUGCUUGGGCAAGAGCAAUACUAGGAUGGAUUAGUAUAUGAGUAGGUUGCUUAGUUG